ensembl:lncRNA
UUCCGUCAUACCGUGCUUUGCAGUUUCUCCAAUUUUUAUAAUAAUGUUAUGAAAGAACCGUCUGUUGUUAUAUUUAAAAUGUUUGCUCAGAGAGCACAGAGAUGAUAGCAAAUAAGUAAAGCUAACGUCAGCAGCCAUGGCACUGGACGAGCAAUCGUAAUUAUAAUCCAAAAGGGCAAACAGUCUAAAUUAUUAUGUAAGUUGACUCGAGAUACAAAAAAUGCAAAACUGCAAAGUCGCAUUUGUCAUCCAUCACCGUGAAAGCAAGUGGACUUUUGAAGCUGGAAUAAUGAGUGGAUUACGCAUUUAAAUUGGCAAGAGAGGAAUAACAUGGAUGGAACUUUCUUGGCGAGGAGGAUUGUGUGCAUCACAGUCAGGUACAAGGGAGAAGGCUUCUUACGUUAGGAGAAUCUGGACUCUGCUGCCUUUGGCACAUGAUGUGACAGAGUGAGUACUGCACUCUCCCACAGAGACAAACACACCUAAGACUGGUUUAUGAUCUGCCAUGCUGGGCAACAUGUCCACAAGAGUCAACAUGAGAGAGUCGUUCAGAGGUAUCAGCAGUUAUGUGACACCGCAUGAGAAUGCCACCAACAGGUCAAAGAGAAUGACAGAGAAGGAUGAAAGAAUGGGAAUGUUAAAUAUCUUGAAUGAUCCCUGUUAUUGUUAUUAUAUAUAUCACUAGAUACGUGAUGAUUUUAUGAUUGAUUUGUGUGUUUUUAUAAAAUUUAUUAUGGAACAGAUCACACUAAAUACCAUAUUACCUGACAGAUGAAAAUAAAUUAAUUAAUAAUUCAACCAAACGAAAUAAAAUUCAAGGUCAAAACAGACAAAGAAAAAAAUGUUAUGGAUUAUAUGUAACUAAAUGUUUAAAUAUCUUAUAUUUUCUAACAAUGUUAUUACAAUUAUUUUCAUAUGAUAAAAAUGAAUAAAAUGUGAUGAUUUUAUGAAUUUCUGGUUUUAAACAAAAACACCCGCCUACUCCUAUUCUAACGCUUGGAAGAGCCAGGAUCAUUUUUAAUAUAACUCUGAUUGGAUUUGUCUGAAAGAAGAAAGACAUAUACACCUAGGAUGCUUUGAGGGUGAGUAAAACAUGAGCUAAUUUUCAUUUUUGGGUGAACUAACCCUUUAACUUUAUUGUCCUUAAAGACAAUUAUUUAUGUAGACAGGAUCAUACAGUACAUAUACAUACACAUACAGCAGCAGGACAGCACACAUAAAACACACACAUUUAUAAUGAGUCAUUUAAAAACAUUAUUGCAGCAGGUACAAAGAAAUUCUUAUACCUAUUUGAUUUGCACAAAGGGAGUUUUAAGUCCCCAGCUAGAAGGAAGCAGUUGAAAUUCAGUACACAAUAGAUGAGUGGCAUCAGAAAGGUUGCAGUUUUGCAGUUUUAAGUUUUCCUUUGUCUCUGAAAUGUUGCAAGCUGUUUGUGCAUAUAUAAGAACCAUAAAGUUGUAAAGACUAAAGUCUCAAACCCAAAGAGAUAUUAUUUCUAAAAGUUAAGACUCAGCCACGCCUUCCUAAAAUGCUUUAUUCAAGCAUGCCCCCACAUAUCUACGUCACAGUGUUGGAAGAUUUGCAUAACACUGUCCAAAUGUUUACACAAAGAAAGAAGGCUUAACUAUAUUAUUCUCGCUGUAGUAUUGCUGCUGCCGCCACCAUGUCGUGGAGACGCUGUGUGUUUCCAAAUAAGGUAAGAGGUGUAACAUUUCCCUCACAUGCUUGAAGUAUUCGGCCAAUCACAAUGCACUGGAUAGCUGGCCAAUCAGAGCACAUCUCGCUUUUCAGAACAAUGAGCUUUGUAAAAAUGUACGCAUUUCUGAAAGGCGAGGCAGAGAGGAGUAACAAUAAUGUGCGGUACAUGGUAAAAUUUUUUUUGUUUUUUUACCCUUAAAUCUCGUUAACACAUUACACCAAAUAAUGCUAUUUUUAGCAUAGUUUGCCUCCACUAUCUUCCUGUGCUUUUUAACUAUACUGUACAACUUACCCCUGUUCUUUACAUUCAAAUUGCCACAAUAAUCCACAAACAAUUCACAUGACUCCAAUCUGUCAAUUAAUGUUUUGUGAAGUGAAAAGCUGCAUGUUUGUAGGUAACAAAUCCAUCAAG